rnacentral:tRNA from 1 species
GCCUUUGUGGUGUAAUCGGAAGCAUGCUCGACGCGUAUUCGGAAGAUUCAGGAUUCAAAUCCCGGCGAAGGUA